UAGGGAAUCUUCGGCAAUGGACGGAAGUCUGACCGAGCAACGCCGCGUGAGUGAAGAAGGUUUUCGGAUCGUAAAGCUCUGUUGUAAGAGAAGAACGAGUGUGAGAGUGGAAAGUUCACACUGUGACGGUAUCUUACCAGAAAGGGACGGCUAACUACGUGCCAGCAACCGCCNAAUACCUAAGUCCCGAACGUUGGNCGGAUAUNUUGNGGGUAAGCGAGCGCAGGCGGUAGAAAAAUAAGUCUGAAGUUAAAGGCUGUGGCUUAACCAUAGUACGCUUUGGAAACUGUUUAACUUGAGUGCAAGAGGGGAGAGUGGAAUUCCAUGUGUAGCGGUGAAAUGCGUAGAUAUAUGGAGGAACACCGGUGGCGAAAGCGGCUCUCUGGCUUGUAACUGACGCUGAGGCUCGAAAGCGUGGGGAGCAAACAGGAUUAGAUACCCUGGUAGUCCACGCCGUAAACGAUGAGUGCUAGGUGUUAGACCCUUUCCGGGGUUUAGUGCCGCAGCUAACGCAUUAAGCACUCCGCCUGGGGAGUACGACCGCAAGGUUG
rnacentral:rRNA from 1 species